GAUGAACGCUAGCGGCAGGCCUAAUACAUGCAAGUCGAGGGGCAGCACGGUAGCAAUACUGGUGGCGACCGGCGCACGGGUGCGUAACGCGUAUGCAAUCUACCUCUAACUGGGGGAUAGCCCGGAGAAAUUCGGAUUAAUACCCCAUAGUUUAUUUGGGUGGCAUCACUCGAAUAAUAAAGAUUUAUCGGUAAGAGAUGAGCAUGCGUACGAUUAGUUAGUUGGUGAGGUAACGGCUCACCAAGACGAUGAUCGUUAGGGGGUCUGAGAGGAUGAUCCCCCACACUGGUACUGAGAUACGGACCAGACUCCUACGGGAGGCAGCAGUAGGGAAUAUUGGUCAAUGGGCGAGAGCCUGAACCAGCCAUGCCGCGUGCAGGAAGAAGGCCCUCUGGGUUGUAAACUGCUUUUGACAGGGAACAAAGAGUCCAUGCGUGGAUAAAUGAGUGUACCUGUAGAAUAAGCACCGGCUAACUCCGUGCCAGCAGCCG
rnacentral:rRNA from 1 species